rnacentral:tRNA from 1 species
GAGGGUAUAGCUUAGUGGCAAAGCGUGGAGUAUUCAGUAUGCACGAGGUCCUGGGUUCAAUCCCCCAGUACCUCCA